GCGGUUUUGGUGAAUAACAUCACCACAGGCGAGAGGCUCAUCCGAGUGCUGCAAGACCAGUUAAAGACCCUGCAGAGGAAUUACGGCAGGCUGCAGCAGGAUGUCCUCCAGUUUCAGAAGAACCAGACCAACCUGGAGAGGAAGUUCUCCUACGACCUGAGCCAGUGCAUCAGUCAGAUGAAGGAGGUGAAGGAACAGUGUGAGGAGCGAAUAGAAGAGGUCACCAAAAAGGGGAACGAAGCUGUAGCUUCCAGAGACCUGAGUGAAAACAACGACCAGAGACAGCAGCUUCAAGCCCUCAGCGAGCCUCAGCCCAGGCAGCAGGCAGCAGGCCUGCCACGUGCAGAGGUGCCACAAGGGAAAGGAAACGUGCCCGGUAACAGCAAGUUCCAGACUCCAGCCCCCAGUUCCGAAGUGGUUUUGGAUUCGAAGAGACAAGUUGAGAAAGAGGAAAUCAAUGAGAUCCAGGUGGUGAGUGAGGAGGGGCCUCAGAGGGACAGGCUGGGGCUGCCACAGGAGCCAGGCCGGGAGCAGGUGGUGGAAGACAGACCUGUGGACGGAAGAGGCUUCGGGGGAGCCAGAGAACUGGGCCAGACCCCACAGGUGCCAGCUGCCCUGUCAGUGAGCCAGGAAAAUCCGGAGAUGGAGGGCCCCGAGCGAGACCAGCUCGUCAUCCCCGACGGACAGGAGGAGGAGCAGGAAGCUGCCAGGGAAGGUGGGUGUGAAGCUUCGGGGGCCGCCGUGGACUCCCUUCCACCAGACACCCAGCCACCUCCAUCUCCUUCCCAGCACCGACGGAGCACCCUGAAUUUGACCACACACAGUCCACAAUUUGCGAGUUCCUUUUCGUUUGAAGGUUUCUUAGUCGUUUUCAAGAGGGAGGCGGGAAGGAAGAGCGGCACAUGCUCCAGAACUCGAGGUUUUAGAUGCAGGGUCGGCGGAGAGUCGCGGGGACCUUGCAGGUGGGCGGCCUGGAGAUGGGUGCUUAGCAUCCAGGGGACGCCUCCUCCUGGCAGGCCGGCCACAUGGCCCAUCUUUGCAUCUCCACUGUCGUGCAGUGUCUGGUGCCAUUUAG